rnacentral:rRNA from 1 species
GACGUAGGGCGCGAGCGUUGUCCGGAUUUAUUGGGCGUAAAGAGCUCGUAGGCGGCUCGUUGCGUCGGCUGUGAAAACCCGCAGCUCAACUGUGGGCUUGCAGCUGAUACAGGCGGGCUGGGAUUCGGUAGGGGAGACUGGAAUUCCUGGUGUAGCGGUGAAAUGCGCAGAUAUCAGGAGGAACACCGGUGGCGAAGGCGGGUCUCUGGGCCGAUAUCGACGCUGAGGAGCGAAAGCGUGGGGAGCGAACAGG